rnacentral:misc_RNA from 1 species
ACACCUCAACUCUCGUGGCUUGCCAUGAUGAGCUUGGACUUUGGGGGUUUUGUUGGCCUGUGAGCCAGCUCCUCUUAAAUGAAUUAGCUUGCCGGUGUUUGGUGGCGUCACGGGUGUGAUAACUAUCUACGCUUGUGGUUUUCCACCAGGUAACCUUCAGCGAUGGAGGUUCACCGGAGCUUAUAAAUGUCCCUCCCCAGUGAGGACAGAUUUUGACC